GGUGAUGGCAGGGGACGAGCAGCAACUCGCUGAACGGACGGCAAAGAAUCACACCUUGGAAAAGGGUUGGUCCUUCAGAAGUUCUUUCCUUGACGGAUGAGGAGUUCAAAACACUUGGGAUCGAAACCAUUGGCGAAAGAGCUAAACUCAGACAACGCUGCAAAGAUUUCAUCUGUGAAUCUAUACCAGAAUCACCAAUUGUCCAACGAGUGAAAAUGUUUCAGUCACAGAGGCGACGACAGGUAUUCCUAGUAUAUCCUAGUAUGUUCCCAGUUGUGGGGUAAAUGAAAUGCACUCUGUGUAAGAAAUGUUUUUACCACUCGAGUAACAAUUUUUCAGUUUUAACUGAUAACUAUUCUUAUUCAUAUUCUGAAUUUCUGGAGUAUUGGUUCUUCGGUUAUUCGUG